rnacentral:lncRNA from 1 species
GGGUAGGCUCAGCGCUCGAAUGAUUAUGGAGGGUCUGCAGGCUUGAAUAAGAAUCGGUGUAGUUUUUACCGAAUUGUGGGGCGCCACCAGAAACUAAGAUACCUGGAAAAAUGGUAUCGCCCAAAGGUGGUAAAUUCACCAGGGCCCCAACAUCCCUUAACGUAAUAGACAUGGGGCCAAGAGGAAAAAUAAAUGUGUUGUACUCAG